rnacentral:rRNA from 1 species
AGAGUUUGAUCCUGGCUCAGGAUGAACGCUAGCUACAGGCUUAACACAUGCAAGUCGAGGGGAAACGAUAUUGGAAGCUUGCUUCCGAUAGGCGUCGACCGGCGCACGGGUGAGUAACGCGUAUCCAACCUGCCCAUCACUUGGGAAUAACCUUGCGAAAGUAAGACUAAUGCCCAAUGACAUUUAUAGAAGGCAUCUGAAAUGAAUUAAAGAUUUAUCGGUGAUGGAUGGGGAUGCGUCUGAUUAGGUAGUUGGUGGGGUAACGGCCUACCAAGCCGACGAUCAGUAGCCGACCUGAGAGGGUGACCGGCCACAUCGGGACUGAGACACGGCCCAGACUCCUACGGGAGGCAGCAGUGGGGGAUAUUGCACAAUGGGGGAAACCCUGAUGCAGCGAUGCCGCGUGGAGGAAGAAGGUUUUCGGAUUGUAAACUCCUGUCGUAAGGGAAGAGAAAGGACUGUACCUUACAAGAAAGCUCCGGCUAACUACGUGCCAGCAGCCGCGGUAAUACGUAGGGAGCGAGCGUUGUCCGGAAUGACUGGGUGUAAAGGGAGCGUAGGCGGGAUGGCAAGUCAGAUGUGAAACCUGAGGGCUCAACCUUCAGACUGCAUUUGAAACUGCUGUUCUUGAGUGAAGUAGAGGUAAGCGGAAUUCCUGGUGUAGCGGUGAAAUGCGUAGAGAUCAGGAGGAACAUCGGUGGCGAAGGCGGCUUACUGGGCUUUUACUGACGCUGAGGCUCGAAAGCGUGGGGAGCAAACAGGAUUAGAUACCCUGGUAGUCCACGCUGUAAACGAUGAUUACUAGGUGUGGGGGGAUUGACCCCUUCCGUGCCGCAGUUAACACAAUAAGUAAUCCACCUGGGGAGUACGACCGCAAGGUUGAAACUCAAAGGAAUUGACGGGGGCCCGCACAAGCAGUGGAGUAUGUGGUCUAAUUCGAAGCAACGCGAAGAACCUUACCAGGUCUUGACAUCGAGUGACGUAUCCAGAGAUGGAUAUUUCCUUCGGGACACAAAGACAGGUGGUGCAUGGUUGUCGUCAGCUCGUGUCGUGAGAUGUUGGGUUAAGUCCCGCAACGAGCGCAACCCUUAUCAUUAGUUGCUACGCAAGAGCACUCUAAUGAGACUGCCGUUGACAAAACGGAGGAAGGUGGGGAUGACGUCAAAUCAUCAUGCCCCUUAUGACCUGGGCUACACACGUACUACAAUGGCGAUCGAACAGAGGGAAGCAAGACAGCGAUGUGGAGCCAAUCCCAAAAAAUCGCCCCAGUUCAGAUUGCAGGCUGCAACUCGCCUGCAUGAAGUCGGAAUUGCUAGUAAUCGCAGAUCAGCAUGCUGCGGUGAAUACGUUCCCGGGCCUUGUACACACCGCCCGUCACACCAUGGGAGUCGGUAACACCCAAAGCCGGUCGUCUAACCUUCGGGAGGACGCCGUCUAAGGUGGGAUUGAUGACUGGGGUGAAGCCGUAACAAGGUA